AGUAAGUCAAGAUACAGAUCCCACAUCUCCUUUUCAUCCUUCUAGGUUGCCUCCUCUCGGGUGGUGUUGUCAGGGCACCUUGACCAUGGAAACUUCUUGGCCAUGUAUCAUCUCCUCAUGCCAUUCGAUGAUCUCUAUAGGGUAGGUGAUAUAGGUGUUGUUCGAGCAAAUAGGGGCUCUUAGGUACGAAAUGAUAUGAGAUGGAUUGUGGAGGUGCUUUCAAAUCAUGGAAACAUGGAGAC
rnacentral:lncRNA from 1 species